ACAGUGUGUUUAGAUGAAUUUCUGGCCGUAGAUUCGAACCCUAGAAAUUCUAGGGUUUCUAUAUAUUGGAUAGCGCGUUUCAACUUCAAGCUCUGGGUAUCAUUUUUCCACGAUCCGGACAGGUAGAUUUUUCAUUACCCUUUUCUCUGAAAGGAAUGUUUAGGUCUUGUGUGACUUUGUUUGUUGAGGAAUGCUUCUGCCCAAGGAGGAAAUUGAAAUAAUGAUAAGGGCUUAAAAGCCGCUGCAUCAUUUUCAGAUUAACCCAAAUACUCUGAUUCUGAGGGCCUGCUUUAUUCAAAAUUUUGUUUGAAUUGAUUAACCCUAGCUUUUGUAUUCUUUUGGCUUUUGAUUGCGAUUCAAGUGUGGAAAUCUGUAAUGAGGAGGAAGUAGGUUUGUAGUUUGGCCGAUUCCUGUUUAAACUGGAGGCUAUAACAUUAUGUAAGCCCUGCGGCUGGGUAUAAUACUAAAAGGGCGAAGGGGUUUCCAUGAGUAGAAGAUUUUAAUAAUGUUAAGAGGUCGAAGCUGUUUACUGGAGCCUGGAAUAGCAUAUUCUCCAAAACAGGGGCUCCGAAGCUUUAUUCAAUUUCUAAUCUCUUCUUUUAGAUCUUCGUUGGAUCUUUCUAUUUACUGUUGAUGCUUGUUUUUGCCCGCCUUUCCAAGCUGAUUAUAAGUGAUACCUGUAGAUGGUGGUUUGUGUCUUCACUGGUUAAUGCAUGUGGCUGCAGUGAAGGUGGUCUCAAUAAUGACGAUUAAAUUAGUUCAUUUUAAUAGUUGAUAUUAACAUAGCUUAGCUCCA